rnacentral:lncRNA from 1 species
AGCCUCUAACCCGCCGGAAGAGGAGAAAACCCGCCGGAAACGCCGGGAAGCAUUUCGCCGGAACUCCCUCCUCCGGCCACCAAUCCGGGCAAGCUUGGUAUGGUUUUGUAGCCCUCCAACCCAGCAGCCUUGCCCUAAAAGGACUCACUCCCUCUUGAGCUAGGUAAGGAAAAAUUUGAGGUGGAAGUUUUAUGGCGUUUUUGAUUUUUUUGUUCGAUUGGCAUAGCUAGGCUUGGAUUUUGGGUUUGUGCUAGUUAGGAAAGUUGUAGAGCAUGAUGAGAGGAAGAUGAUAUUAAAAUUUCAUAGGAAUUGGAGGUCACCGGAAUUGGCCUCCGGCCGCCGCUGCCGGCGGAGCCGCCGGUUGGGAGAUUUUAAUGUUGUUAAAUUUGGAAUAUUAAGGGGAGUUUAUUGAAGUGAGUUAUGGAAUUUUUGGAUGAGUUUUGGAUAGGUUUAUGAAUUUUCGAAGUUAGUAUUUUUGGCGGUUAAUUUAUGUAGAAUCCGGCCGUUGGAUUAAGUUGUUUAAUCUGUGGGAAGGUGUAGUUACGGCUGCUGGUUCUAGGGUUGAAAUGUGGACCAUUUCGAAGUUAGGCAAUGAUGAGCGUGUUAAUGGCUCUCGAUUAAUUUCUGCCUAUUUUGUGUAAAUAUUGGAAUUUCGGCUGGGAACUUAAUAUUAUAUUUGGAACAGGUCGUGAGGAGGCUCGAGCUGACGAGGCCCCAGAUCGACAUCAGGCUUAGGCCUAAUUUGUGAGUGGACUUUUGUUUUAAAUAAUGUGCAUGCGAAAUAAUUUAUGUUGUUGGAGAAUAACCGAAAUUGAGAAUUUCGGUGAGUAUAUAAAUAUAUCCAUAUGUGGAUGAUUAUGAGAAUAAUAUGUAUAUGAGAGAAUGCUAGCUAGCUAUACGUGCUUUUCCACCAUACUGAGGUAAAAUUCCAUUAUGGUGUCACGUGAGCGUUAGACGCAAUCGUUGUAGCCCUAUAUAAAAUAAUAAUUUAUAUAGGGGAUAUGCGCGUAUAUUUAUACACCGUCUUUUCCACCAUAAUGAGGUAAAAUGUCAUUAUGGUGCAACGUGAGC